GAUCCUGGCUCAGGAUGAACGCUAGCUACAGGCUUAACACAUGCAAGUCGAGGGGCAGCAUGAACUUAGCUUUGCUAAGUUUGAUGGCGACCGGCGCACGGGUGAGUAACACGUAUCCAGCCUGCCGAUGACUCGGGGAUAGCCUUUCGAAAGAAAGAUUAGUACCCGAUGGCAUAGUUCUUCCGCAUGGUAGAACUAUUAAAGAAUUUCGGUCAUCGAUGGGGAUGCGUUCCAUUAGG
rnacentral:rRNA from 1 species